rnacentral:lncRNA from 10 species
UAUAAAUGACAUCGCAUUUAAGCCUGAUGGAACUCAACUGAUUUUGGCUGCCGGAAGCAGAUUACUGGUUUAUGACACCUCUGAUGGCACCUUACUUCAGCCCCUCAAGGGACACAAAGACACUGUGUACUGUGUGGCAUAUGCGAAGGAUGGUAAAAGGCUGCUCUGGGUUUCCAUUCUCUAUAAUAGCCUCAUCAUUGUUCAUUUUUCUCUUUAGUCACUUUUUAAUUAUUUCUAGUAAGCUGGAGUACAAGUUGCAAGUUCAGAAGACAGUGAAGUUGCUAAGACUUCAGUUUGGUCAUUCAAUCUAGCAAGUAUUUAUUGAGGUCAUCUAUGUUCCAGGCACUGUUCAAGGUGCUUGAGU